UACAGAGAGUGCAAGCGUUAAUCGGAAUUACUGGGCGUAAAGCGCGCGUAGGUGGAUAUUUAAGUCGGAUGUGAAAUCCCCGGGCUUAACCUGGGAAUUGCAUUCGAUACUGGAUAUCUAGAGUAUGGUAGAGGGAAGUGGAAUUUCCGGUGUAGCGGUGAAAUGCGUAGAUAUCGGAAAGAACACCAGUGGCGAAGGCGGCUUCCUGGACCGAUACUGACACUGUAGCGCGAAAGCGUGGGGAG
rnacentral:rRNA from 1 species